rnacentral:lncRNA from 1 species
AUAUAUAGAGAGAGAGUUGUAUAUUUCUAAUAGCAAAAUACACAUGAGUCUUUACAAGGGGAAGGUCCCCUUUAUACACUAAGGGACUUUCCUCGAAAUAAUCAAAGAAAAUUACAAGUGUUGCGUACGAGUGUCAGAGCUCGAAACGACGUCGCAGUGAGUCAUGUCACUCGGUCCGUCUACUAACUGAGGUCGGUCUUACUUGAGUCGACCAUAAUUAGGCCGUUUUCUUCACCGAGAACAUAGGUAGAUAGCGUAGGAACGUGGGGAACCAAAUUUGCCCAAUACAUAUAUAUUAUUGAAGAAUAUUUUAUUUAUUAAAUUUUAUCUUCAACAAACUAAAGUUGUUUUUUGCAUACAACAGCUAAAUUAACACCAGCAAAUACGACAACAACAAAAAAAAGAAAAAGAAAAGGCGAAGAAAUAGUAAACAUGCAAUGAAGCAGCAGCACAGAACCUUAACUUUGCUAGAUCUACGGCUGAUACCAAAACAUAACGUUGAUGUAGCCGUCGAUAACUUGCCGGAAACUUCUUCAUCAAAAUGUGAACCUCUACCACAAAAUCUCGGCCGUCUAUAGAAGUUAUUGGAAGGUGUUGCAGGAGCAGAAAGUGAAAAAUGUGAAGAAUAAGACGUCCACGAUAACGACAACGACGACGAAGAUGAUGAUGAGCAAGAAGGAGAUGGAGGAAAAUGGGAUUUCUUUGGAUUGAUUAGUUUCUUGAUUAAUGCAUGAAAAAGCUUGGAUCUUGAAUUUUUUUCUAGUUGGUUUUUUGUUUGUAUUGUUAUUGGAAUAGUAAGAAGGAGGAGGAGUUAAAGGAGGAAAAUUAUAAGAAGUUUGAGAAAGUGAAUGUUUAGGAGUUCCAGGUUGAGAUUCCCAAUGAAAGGAACAGAACUUGGAACAUCACCAUAGUAAACCCUAAAAGAAGGAAUGGCAUUAGCUAGUUUGGAGUUUUCUUUGGAAAGAAGCUUGUUGGUAAAGAACUUGGUGUCUUAAUCUUGCUUAAUUUGGAAAGAUUUGUGGAGAAAGUCACUGCAACUACUGACCAUUUUGGGAAGUUGCUGAGAGAUAAGAAUAGGGGACUUAGGAGCUAGCUUUUUAGCUUCAGUACUUAGUUUCUUGGGUUGGAGUAGGGUUCAUA